GCGUAAGAGUGUUUAAGAAAAAACCACAAUAGAGUUAAAUUAUAACUAAGCUGUAAAAAGCCCUAGUUAAAAUAAAAUAACCCACGAAAGUGACUCUAAUAAUUCUGACACACGAUAGCUAGGACCCAAACUGGGAUUAGAUACCCCACAA
rnacentral:rRNA from 1 species